AGGAGAUUUCAAAAACAAUGUUCUAAAAUUCAUUGUGGUCAUGGUUGCACAAUUCUGUGAAUAGACUGAAAACCAUGGAGGUGUACACUUUAAAUGAGUGAACUCUAUGGACAGAAGCACAGCAGGUGCUACUGGUGUGUGCUCACAUCCCUGUACAUCACCAGAGGCUUUCUGGAAGCCUCUAAAUCUCUGUACCUGAGGACUUUCUCUAGCCACAGAAACAUGCUCACUCCCUUCCCUUCUGCAGGGUGAACUGAAGUUCUGGGAAGUCGACUUCCCUGAAAGCAGCUCUGAAUUAAUUACAGAGUUGCAGGAGCAAUACCCAGCUUCCUCACCGACUGUGUGGUACAGCUCAAAGGUGUGUUCUAAAUUGUCCCCAGACAUGCCAAGGAGGGCUGCAUCCCAGGUUCCCGCAGUGACGACCUGCCUUUCCAUGUACCCUGGUGUUGGCUGCCUUGCCUUCCCCAGCUUACUUUCUUCAUUCCCUACCAGUGCUUCCUGGCAUUACCUACCAAAUAAGCUAUCCCAGCACAUAAACGUCUGAGUCUGCUUCUGAAGAAGACUAACCUGAACUAAAGGAUAAUCAGAGUCCCUUCCUCUUAGGUCUAUUGGAAGGAAGACAUAAAAUAGUAUAAGGAGAGAUUUCAGCACUAUGUCUGGCCACUUAACAACUGUUACCUAUUAUCACUAUUAUUAGUAUUACUGUUGUUAUGACUAAAACCAAAUAAUCGACUUGAAUUGUUUAUCAGAUCUCGGCCCAUCUGGAAGCCUGUCUUGGCUUUCCUACAUACGUGAGACAUGCCAAGCCAGUAUCGUGCUUAUUAUUUCGCCACUGAGCUCCCAGUUAAUUAUUUUCCAUCCAAUUGACUCCAGGUUUUCAAAGACUUUAUCUAGCAAACUGCACAGAUUAAGUAAUAAUUUAUUUUCUCACCCAUGUUUUAUUAAUCAAAGGCAUAUGUAACUGCCAAUCAGAGCUGCUGAUCAGAAUUAAAUUACUAAGUUCACCAUGCAGAGCUAAUAUCAUUUCAGUCAAAAGCAAAACAUCUUGAUGUUUUUGUUUGUGAAGCUUUAUCACUUGAAAAUGUAAGAUUAUAUUAGAUUUUCUGAAAUAUUUAAAAUAGCUUGCAGACCUUCAUUGCUACCAUCGAGGUCUCCUAAGACCUAAAAACCCCAUGUUGGCCAUUGCUGAUCUAAUAAACCAAAAUUCAUUAGGAAGUAUGUCUGUUUUUGCUAAAAAAAUUGGAGCAAUAAAACCUUUAUUGCCAUAUUUGGCAAUAACCUUUCUGUGUAUGAUGAGAAAAUAAAGGAUAAAUGAAUAUUUA